UCUUUAAAAGACGACAUAUCUCAGGCGAUACCAACAGUUUUCUUUAUAUUUCGUUACAAUCGAGUUUGUGAAUAUGAAACUAUUUAUUCUGAUGGCUUUAUGUCUUAUUUCUCUCGCUGUGCCUUCGAUGGCUGACCCGUGGUAUGGCAAGGGGAAAGGAAGCAGGGGACACGGUGGACACGGAGGAGGUGGACAUGGAGGAGGUGAACAUGGAGGAGGUGGACAUGGAGGAGGAGGAGGGGGUGGAUUUGGAGGACUUACGUUUGAAGGGCCAGAAAUUGUGUUCCAAUUCGAUCCACUUGACGAAGUUGAUGCGAAUGACAUAGCGAAUGAUCCUAUUGACAUAUACCUAAAAUGAUCGCAAUUAUUUUUACUACGAUCAACACAAUAUAUCAUUUUCUUUGUGUGCGUGUCGUGAAAAGUUUCUUGUUAAUUUUUCUUUAUUUACAAUUUUAAAAUGCACAUUAAUAAAUUAUCCUUAGAAGUGGGUGAUACGUUAUCCAAACAGCCGAUCUUGGACAUGUGUGUGUAAGUAUAAAGCUAUUAUAACGAAUAUAUUACGUAUAUAACUACAACGAAAUUCAGUAAGUUUAAUUUAAUAUUUUCGUCUCGGAAUUCUUUAAUACGCAAAAAAAAAUGCGUGCAAAUUUCAAUUAAGUUACUUCUGUGUAGGUAUUUCCAAUAUUCUAUAAAAGACGACAUAUCUCAGGCGAUACCAACAGUUUUCUUCAUAUUUCGUUACAAUCGAGUUUGUGAAUAUGAAACUAUUUAUUCUGAUGGCUUUAUGUCUUAUUUCUCUCGCUGUGCCUUCAAUGGCAGAUCCACAACAACCUCUUCCCCCAAUGCGACCAUACCCAUAUCCAGGACAUGGUUCUGGUUAAGGACAAAAGUCAUCGUAAAUAAAAAGAAUUUUGCAAUUUUAAAAUAUUUGCAAUUAUGAAUUUAUUUUGGCAAUGUUCAAUAAGGAUAGAAGAGUAACCUAACUUUGGGUUUACUGGAAUAAUAUGUAAUAGGCGGAAAGAGUUAUCUCUAGUCUUAACGACACUUGAAAAUUUAAUUACGAUUAGAUACAAAUUGUGUAGGAAAUAAUUCGAUAUGGCAAAAAGCGAUAGUUGCUGCCGGUUCUUUACUACUUUGGUUGACAUUCUGGUAUAUUUGGUAUAUUAAGUGGAUAGGGGGUAACUCACAGUCGAGCACACUCGACUGAAGCUUUCUUAAAGCAAUAAAUAUGUCGUUUUUCGAAUUAAUAAUUUUUUUUGCAUAGAAGUACAUUAAUCAUUUAUUGUUUUUUCUGCAUAGGUUGCUCUUUACCUAAGUACCUCAUUUUUUUUCUUAUCAUGAGCAAAAACAAACAACGCAGAUGAUCUUCCGAGCCGUGAACAUGCAUCAUAUAAAUAAAUAUAUUACAUGUCGGAUUAAAUCCUUCCUCGUCAAUAAUAUCUGCUCCAAAUGAAAUCAUUUUGAAUCAACCAUUAUAUUUUUGAGUUUCGAAACAAAGCAAUGCUCGACUGUGAGAUACCCGCUACCCAUUUUUAAUAAGGGCAAAAUAUUGCAGUAUUAUUUUCAAAAUAUACCGAAAAUAUUAAAAAAAUCUAAAAAUAUACCAAAUGGUAUGUUUGGUAUAUCGAUACAGGACACCAUUGAAAAUAUACCAUAGACGGCUCAAUAUACCAGAUUGCCGGCCAAAGCAACUAAGACCCCUAGUAAGUAGGCGUUUUUGCCCAUACAAAAGUAUUUAUUCAAUAACUUCGACAAUUAUUAUAUGAUCGCAACCAAAUUUUCAGGAAUCAUAACUACUAUAGUAAUUAUUGCAUAUACCAAAAUUCUCUAGCUUUAAAAUUACUCUUGUCAUUCGAUUUUUUUGAUUGGCGGGGGCGUAAGUGGGUGGGCCAAAAAUUUGAAACAAACUUGAUCUGCGUGUAAACAUAACAAAUGCUGUCGAAAAAAAAAUUAUAGCUCUAUCUCUUAUAGUCUCUGAGAUCCAGUGUUUCAUGCGGACGGACGGACAGACGGACAGACGGACAUGGCUAGAUCGUCUCGGCUGUUGACCUUGAUCAACAAUAUAUAUAUAGGGUCGGAGAUGCCUCCUUAUACCUGUUACAUACAUUUCCUGCCGGCACAAAGUUAUAAUACCCUAUGGGUAUAAAAACCUACUCACUUUUAAUGCAAGUUUGCUGGACUGUGAGAUACCAGCCAUCCACUUGCAAUAAUACUCUUCUACCCUAUGCCUGAAGGUGCUGGAGGUGGACGUAUGCGAUUUCCUCUAAUUGCCAUCGAAGG